ACGUGUCAGGGGCAGAACAGCAUGAGGCACGUGCUCAGAACUCUUCACCACAGAAAACGCCACCCAGUGUCACUCCUAGAACCGAUCUUUUUAUGGUGGUCAGGUUUCUGGUUCCUUUUCAUUUGGACUAUGGAGAUGGAUGGAUAUUCUACCCAUCUAUUUAUUUCCAAGGAACAAAAUCUCACAGACCGAAACAGCGUAGCUGGGAAAAACAAAAAACAAACAAACAAAACCAAGAUAGACUAAGGUAAAGAAGAGGGGUUUAUCCAGAAGCAAACCCACACUGCACAACCACCUGAUGCUCAACAAGGUGCCCAAAACACAUCGGCAACUCUGGGACCAUGAAGCUGAUGGGUCUAUGGAGUCCCCAAGGUCCAGGAGAGAAUUGGGCUAAAGAGAUAUACAACAUGGUGACUGCAGGUCAGCAAGAGUGGCCAGAGGGCUUCCCAUGGGUGACAGACAGAAGGCU
rnacentral:lncRNA from 1 species